CCAGCAAUAGCUCAGUUGGUAGAGCGUCGGACUGUAGAGUUAUACGAAGUCAUCCGCCGGUCCCUGGUUCAACUCCGGGUUGCUGGA